rnacentral:rRNA from 1 species
AGAGUUUGAUCCUGGCUCAGGAUGAAUGCUGGCGGUGUGCCUUAAGCAUGCAAGUUGAACGGUAACUUAGCCUUCGGGCUAAAACGAGUGGCAGACGGGUGAGUAAUGAAUAGGAACUUACCUUCAAGUGGGGGAUAGCCAGUCGAAAGAUUGGGUAAUACCGCAUGUGAUCGCAAGAUCAAAGUCUUCGGACGCUUGAAGAGAGGCCUAUUUCCUAUCAGGUUGUUGGUGAGGUAAUGGCUCACCAAGCCUAUGACGGGUAGCCGGUGUGAGAGCACGACCGGCCACAAGGUUACUGAGACACGGAACCUACACCUACGGGUGGCAGCAACUGGGAAUAUUGCGCAAUGGACGGAAGUCUGACGCAGCGACACCGCGUGUGGGAAGAAGCUUUUCGGAGUGUAACCCACUGUGGCAGGGGAGCAAAAUUUGAGGGUACCCUGCUAAAAAGCACCUGCUAACUACGUGCCAAAACCCUCGGUAAUACGUAGGGGGCAGGCAUUAUCCGGAUUGAUUGGGCGUAAAGCGUCCGUCGGCGUCUUAUCAAGUCUUUAGUUUAAAACCAAGGCUCAAUUUUGGAAGGGCUAAAGAUACUGGUAGGAUUGAGUAUAUUAGGGGAAGCUGGAAUUCUCGGUGGAGGGGUGAAAUCCGUAGAUAUCGAGAGGAACACCAUUCCCGAAAGGCGGGUUCCUGUAAUAUAACUGACGCUCAGGAACGAAAGCUUGGGUAGCAAAAGGGAUUAGAGACCCCUGUAGUCCAAGCCGUAAACCGAUCCUUGGUAGUUGCUUGUUUCUUAGAAAUUUGUUCUGUAAGUUAAGGCGUUAAGCAAGGCGCCCUGGGAUCACGACGGCAAGGUUAAAACUCAAAGGAAUUGACGGGGGAGCGCACAACCGGUGGAGCAUGUGGUUUAAUUCGAUACAAAGCGAAAGACCUUACCUGGGUUUGACAUGUAACUGCACGCUUAGUGAAAGCUAAGUUUCUUCGAGAGUGUUACACAGGUGUUGCAUGGCUGUCGUCAGCUCGUGUCGUGAGACGUCCACUUAAGUGUGGUAACGAGCGCAACCCCUGUCGUAUGUUGCAAGUAUCAUACGAGACUGCCCGGCUGCAAGCCGGGAGGAAGGAGGGGAUGAUGUCAAGUCAGCAUGGCCCUUACGUCCAGGGCUACACACAUCCUACAAUGGAGCCGACAACGGGUCGCGACGGGGUAACCCUGAGCCAAUCCUAUAAACGGCCCCUCAGUUCAGAUUGAGGGCUGCAAUUUGCCCUCAUGAAGCCGGAAUCGGUAGUAAUCGCAGAUCAGCAGGCUGCGGUGAAUACGUUCUCGCUUCUUGUACACACUGCCCGUCAAGCCAGCAAAGUCGGCAGCGCCCGAAGCGGGUGACCCAAACUCACAAGUGGGAGGCCCGUCUACGGUGAGGUCGGCGAUGAGGACUAAGUCGUAACAAGGUAGCCGUA